UACGUAGGGGGACAGCGUUGCUCGGAAUUACUGGGCGUAAAGGGUUCGUAGGUGGUGCGGCAAGUUGGGAGUGAAAUCUCUGGGCUUAACUCAGAGGCUGCUUUCAAAACUGCCGCGCUCGAGUGCGAGAGAGGUCAGUGGAAUUGCAGGUGUAGCGGUGAAAUGCGUAGAUAUCUGCAGGAACACCCGUGGCGAAGGCGGCUCGCUGGACCGCAACUGACGCUGAGGAACGAAAGCUAGGGGAGCAAACAGG
rnacentral:rRNA from 1 species